GAUCCUGGCUUAGGAUGAACGCUAGCUACAGGCUUAACACAUGCAAGUCGCGGGCAGCAUGUGGUGCUGCAACCAAUGAUGGCGACCGGCGCACGGGUGAGUAACGCGUAUCCAACCUGGCCCAUAGUAGGGGAUAGCCCGGCGAAAGUCGGAUUAAUACCCUAUGUUCUUCUUUGAGGUUUACAUCUGAAAUGAAGCAAAGGUUCACCGCUAUGGGAUGGGGGUGCGUCUGAUUAGCUUGCCGGCGGGUAACGGCCCACCGGGGCAACGAUCAGUAGGGGUUCUGAGAGGAAGGUCCCCCACACUGGUACUGAGACACGGACCAGACUCCUACGGGAGGCAGCAGUGAGGAAUAUUGGUCAAUGGGCGAGAGCCUGAACCAGCCAAGUAGCGUGCCAGGAUGACUGCCCUAUGGGUUGUAAACUGCUUUUAUAGGGGAAUAAAGUGAGGUAUGCAUACCUUUUUGUAUGUACCCUAUGAAUAAGGACCGGCUAAUUCCGUGCCAGCCGCCGC
rnacentral:rRNA from 1 species